ensembl:snoRNA
GCAUGGAUUUGGAUUUAUGGCAGGCCUGUACACCUGCUCCUUUCAUAGUGUCCCAUGCCUGAGCAACUUGUGGCCCCAAACCAUUGCCUGACCUCUCUCUGUACACUGCUGGCACUGACGUGGAUCAGACACUG